rnacentral:rRNA from 1 species
CCCAUUCCCGGCUCGGGGAGGUAGUGACGAAAAAUAACAAUACAGGCCUCGUACGAGGCCCUGUAAUUGGAAUGAGUACACUUUAAACGCUUUAACGAGUAUCCAUUGGAGGGCAAGUCUGGUGCCAGCAGCCGCGGUAAUUCCAGCUCCAAAAGUGUAUAUUUAAGUUGUUGCGGUUGAAAAGCUCGUAGUUGGAUUUUGGGAUGGCGCGUUUGGUCGGCCGCAAGGCUUGUACUGGACGCGCUGUCCUCACAUGACCGGCGCCUCUAAGGUGCUCUUAACUGAGUGUCUGUGCGGUCCGGGAAGUUUACCUUGAAAAAAUUAGAGUGUUCAAAGCAGGCUUAAAGCUUGAAUAAUGUUGCAUGGAAUAAUGGAAUAGGACCUCGGUUCUAUUUUGUUGGUUUUCGGAGCGCGAGGUAAUGAUUAAGAGGAACGGACGGGGGCAUCCGUACUGUGCCGUUAGAGGUGAAAUUCUUGGAUCGGCGCAAGACGAACAACUGCGAAAGCAUUUGCCAAGAAUGUUUUCUUUAAUCAAGAGCGAAAGUCAGAGGUUCGAAGACGAUCAGAUACCGUCCUAGUUCUGACCUUAAACGAUGCCGACUAGCGAUCGGGCAGUGUCGAACGUAAGANCUGCCCGGCAGCUUCCGGGAAACCAAAGUCUUUGGGUUCCGGGGGAAGUAUGGUUGCAAAGCUGAAACUUAAAGGAAUUGACGGAAGGGCACCACCAGGAGUGGAGCCUGCGGCUUAAUUUGACUCAACACGGGAAAUCUCACCCGGCCCGGACACAGCGAGGAUUGACAGAUUGAGAGCUCUUUCUUGAUUCUGUGGGUGGUGGUGCAUGGCCGUUCUUAGUUGGUGGAGCGAUUUGUCUGGUUAAUUCCGAUAACGAACGAGACUCUUACUUGCUAAAUAGCUACUCUACCCAUGUGGUAGGAGAUAACUUCUUAGAGGGACUAGUGGCGUUUAGCCACACGAGAUUGAGCAAUAACAGGUCUGUGAUGCCCUUAGAUGUUCGGGGCCGCACGCGCGCUACACUGACCGGAUCAUCGUGUGCUUCCCUUGGCCGAAAGGCCCGGGUAAUCCGUUGAACCCCGGUCGUGCUAGGGAUAGGGAAUUGCAAUUGUUUCCCUUGAACGAGGAAUUCCCAGUAAGCGCGAGUCAUUAGCUUGCGUUGAUUACGUCCCUGCCCUUUGUACACACCGCCCGUCGCUACUACCGAUUGAAUGGUUUAGUGAGGUCCUCCGAUUGAGCCCGGUGCGCUCGGAAACGUGCAUGCUGGUGCCCGAGAAGACGA